UAGCCUUGCGGCCGUACUCCCCAGGCGGGACACUUAAUGCGUUAGCUUCGGCACGGAAAGCGUCGAUAACUUCCCACACCUAGUGUCCAUCGUUUACAGCUAGGACUACCAGGGUAUCUAAUCCUGUUCGCUCCCCUAGCUUUCGCGCCUCAGUGUCAGUAGCAGCCCAGAAAGUCGCCUUCGCCACUGGUGUUCUUCCUGAUAUCUGCGCAUUUCACCGCUACACCAGGAAUUCCACUUUCCUCUACUGCACUCAAGUUUUCCAGUAUCACAUGCAGUCCUCAAGUUAAGCCUGAGGUUUUCACAUAUGACUUGAAAAGCCACCUACGCGCUCUUUACGCCCAAUAAUUCCGAACAACGCUUGCCUCCCCCGUCUUACCGCGGCUGCUGGCACGGAGUUAGCCGAGACUUCCUUAUUAAGUACCGUCAGUAUUCGGGCUAUUAACCCUACUACCUUCGUCCUCAAUUGACAGAAGUUUACAACCCUAAGGCCUUCAUCCUUCACACGGUGUCACUGCGUCAGGCUUUCGCCCAUUGCGCAAGAUUCCCUA
rnacentral:rRNA from 1 species